rnacentral:rRNA from 1 species
GCUCGUAGUUGGAUCUCAGUUCGGGAGGGAAGGUCCACCUAUCGGUGGUCACUUUCCCGUCCCAACACCGGCCGGUUUCUGUAGAUGAUCUUCACCGGUUGUCUGCGGUGACCGGCAAGUUUACUUUGAAAAAAUUAGAGUGCUCAAAGCAGGCGCGACGCCUGAAUAAUGGUGCAUGGAAUAAUGGAAUAGGACCUCGGUUCUAUUUUGUUGGUUUUCGGAACACGAGGUAAUGAUUAAGAGGGACAGACGGGGGCAUUCGUAUUGCGACGCUAGAGG